UUCUUUAGUAGAAGGAUAACAUGACAUAGCAGGAAUAAUACUGCCUUUUCUUUCUGGCAUGGAUCAAGAGAAAAGAAAAUACAAGAAAACAGACAGAAGAUCCUAUCUGCGACAAUUAAGAGCACUCUAAGAGGAAAACACAUCCCACCACACAAGGCAAGGUACUUCUAUGGAAGGGUGAGCCCUCACAGAUGGAGCAAUGGGGCGCGCACACCUGAACAAGGGAGGGGAAGGAGUUCUUAUCCCUGAUGCAUGUGACCCCUGCUGCUGUGUCCUUCCCCUAUUGGCUAAGGCUUCUGACAGCUUUGGAGAUUGUGACAUUGGAAUAAAGGAAAAACGUACAGGACUCAUGAAGCGCUGAAAUGUUCACAAAUAUCAAGCAAAAGUCAAUGAAAUUUAUUUUGAGCUAUUUACAUCAUUUAAUAAUUGAGCAAGGUAUACUCCUAUGAACAAAAUUUGGAGCAUGUUUGUCUCUCUCUGCCUGGCGUCUUCAGAAUUUGGAAACUAGUUAGUCAUGGAAAUUUAUUUUGAGCUAUUUACAGCAUUUAAUAAUUGAGCAAGGUAUACUCCUAUGAACAAAAUUUGGAGCAUGUUUGUCUCUCUCUGUCUGCCUGGCAUCUACAGAAUUUGGAAACUAGUUUCGUUCCCAGAUUUCCUAAACUUUCCAGAGAAAAUGGUCUUCUCCCUGGCUCAGCAAGAAGAUGAACUUUAAACACUGAGAAACUGGUCAUCUCCCUGGCUCAACCAGAAGAUGAACUUUAAACACUACUCUCAAUGACUUGAUGUUCCCAUCACUACUCCUGUCAUAAAGGGAGGGGACUCAGAUAUUGAGAAUUUUAUGAUAGUGUGAACUGUCUGGUAUGUCAUUUAAGUAAGCCCGUUGCUGAAAUAUUUUCCAUGUUAUUAGAAAGAGCUGAAGAGAGGGAUUGAGAUGGCUUCUUUAUUUUUUGUCUUUUGGGAAUUAAAGGAACCUGGUUCAACAAGGGCCUACACCUAAGUCUCUUGUUGUACCAGAGUACAAUUUAGGACUGCUCCUGAGGAAGGAAUUAGCUAGAAAUCUAGAGAGUAAGGGUAACAGAUUUACAUAGAAUAACAGCCUCAGUAUUUUUGGUUCCUCUCCAGUAAAGAUCACAAAGAAUAUUGCUAAAUCGCUAAAACACCUUUGCAAUAACGUAAGGGCUUACAACUAUAUACCAAUGUAGCUCAGUUACUAAACUGGAGUAAACUAAUUUCUCUUGUGUAGAAAAAUUGGUUGGCUGUGGUUUUAUAGCAGAUCUGCAAUUAUUAAUAGUUAUGCCAAUAAUCGUUUAACAGUGCAUAUGUUAAUAUAUAUGGAAAGACAAUGUGUAUAGACAGAUGUGUAAAAUUGAAAAAUAAACAUAUAACAAGAGAGAAACAUCUAUCGAACAGACAAUAUACAUACACAUCAAACACAACAGCAGUUUUAGUGACCAUAAUAUUUAUUUCUCAUUUUUACAUUGCUUACUUUAGUGACAACUGAAAAUGACAGUUGGCAAUGCAGCUAACAGUUUCAAUAAAAGUAUAAAACAAAAGACUGUGUACAAAGCACCUGUCUUUCCGCUUUUGUAAUCUUCCGUUGGAAAAAAUUUACACACCUAAGUAACCAUCUGUUUUCUUCAAGAAAAAAUCAUUCUUAUUUCUCUCUCUCAUCUUGAAAACAGCUGUCAGCCAGGAGGGCAGAGCUGAAAUUUAUUGCCACAUCACAUGAAGCAUAGAACAGACUCCACUACUCCUUGAGAUUCAAAACUUUGCCUCUCACAAAGUUACCUUUUAUUUUCCUCUUGUUUGUCACUCAUCUCCCCUAGUGUGCUCUUUUUAUUUCUUUUACUAUUAAUAAUAAAAUCUGUGGAUGACUGUAUUAU
rnacentral:lncRNA from 1 species